UAUUCGUUAAAUUUUUUUUUAAAACAAAAGGGAAAUUUUUAGAUUUUGGAUUACUCCACUCCCUCCAGCCCUAUCUCAAAUCUUUGCCUUCACAACCACCCUCUCUCUCUAGCAUCACGCUUCCCCAUCUCUCUCUAUGAUCUUGAAUUCUCCCAUCUUUCUCUUUCUACACAUUCUCUCUAAUCUUGCUGACCAACUCUACCUGGAAAAAAUCUGUGUUUUUUACCAGUGAUCACAACAACCUCUUAUGGCUCUCCAAACUGUUCGAAGUAAUGUCGCAUGGUAUCUCUUUGUGUUGCAUUGCGGACCCUCCAGCAAAAAUCUUGUAGAGGUUCUAGAUCAUACCAAGGUAAAGAUGGAGCCAAAGAUGUACUGCGAUGGUAAACAUGAUUUUCAAAUGCUUAUCUGUGUUCCCAGAGAGAGAGAGAGCAUUCACAUAUAUCAUGUUUAUGGCCUACUUGCAGACGAACAGUGAAGAUGGAUGCAUCAAUGAGUGCAAUAGUUUGUGACAGUCAAAGUGCUUAAUAUUGUUUUGGCAUUUAAAGUUUCAAAUUCAAGAUUGUAUCAAUUGUGAAAGAUUCUUCAAGCUUCUAUUUUAUCAAAAGUAUUUGGAGGAGCAAAGUUUUCAGUUAUUUUCUCAGAGUACAAAGCUCAAGAAGAUAUGCACUUGACAUCCAAAGUACAAAAGAGAGCCAUAUGUAAUAUUUAUUUUGUAUAGAAGAAUAAAAGUCUUCUAAUGGAAGUAGAUACAUGUAACUUGUUGUAUGACCCUAGUCGAUUGUGAAUCUCUAGGAGGUGACAAUGGGUAUAUCUACAUGCAAUGCAAUUGCUCAAAUUUUAUAUGAGCAGUAUUAAUGGCAA